rnacentral:rRNA from 1 species
UACGGGAGGGGCAAGCGUUAUUCGGAUUAAAUGGGCGUAAAGGAUGCGUAGGCGGAAUUAAACUGGUCGUUUGCCGAAAGUUCAAUUUUAUUUUUGAAAUGGCUGCAAAUGUGAACUAGAAUGAGUGAAUAUGGCAGGGGUAAGAAGAAUUCUUAAAGGAGGGGUGCAAUGCUUCGAUAGUCUGGAGAAUACCAAUUGGCGCAAGCAUCUUACUAGGUUACAUUGACGUUGAGGCAUGGAGGUGUGGGGAGCAAACGGG